rnacentral:rRNA from 1 species
AACGAACGCUGGCGGCAUGCCUAACACAUGCAAGUCGAACGAGACCUCCGGGUCUAGUGGCGCACGGGUGCGUAACGCGUGGGAACCUGCCCUUAGGUUCGGAAUAACUCCCCGAAAGGGGUGCUAAUACCGGAUAAUGUCUUCGGACCAAAGAUUUAUCGCCUUUGGAUGGGCCCGGGUUGGAUUAGCUGGUUGGUAGGGUAAAAGCCUACCAAGGCGACGAUCCAUAGCUGGUCUGAGAGGAUGAUCAGCCACACUGGGACUGAGACACGGCCCAGACUCCUACGGGAGGCAGCAGUGGGGAAUAUUGGACAAUGGGCGAAAGCCUGAUCCAGCAAUGCCGCGUGAGUGAUGAAGGCCUUAGGGUUGUAAAGCUCUUUUACCCGGGAUGAUAAUGACAGUACCGGGAGAAUAAGCUCCGGCUAACUCCGUG